AUUAACUCCUAUGUUUGUAUCUGCCCAGAACCUGAUUGUUCUGGGCUUUUUUUA
rnacentral:ncRNA from 1 species